GGAGUUUGGGCCGUGUCUCAGUCCCAAUGUGGCCGUACACCCUCUCAGGCCGGCUACUGAUCGUCGCCUUGGUGGGCCGUUACCUCACCAACUAGCUAAUCAGACGCGGGACCAUCCUAUACCACCGGAGUUUUUCACACUGCUUCAUGCGAAGCUGUGCGCUUAUGCGGUAUUAUCAGUCGUUUCCAACUGCUAUCCCCCAGUAUAGGGCAGGUUUCCCACGCGUUACUCACCCGUCCGCCACUAAGUGAUUCAAAUGAGUCAAUCUGGUGCAAGCACCUUCAAUCCUCGGGAGAACCACUCCGUUCGACUUGCAUGUGUUAAGCACGCCGCCAGCGUUUAUC
rnacentral:rRNA from 1 species